UCUGAACAACCUGCUUUACCAUUGAGAGAAAUGUAUCAGUCCAGCAAAUUCAUAGACCUGGUCAGUUUCUUGUCUUAGUACUAGCUUUUCUUUUCCUGUGAAUUAUAACUCAUUUCUGUAGAGAGUUAUGUUUCUUACCCUGAUCUGUUCAAUUUAGAAGCAAAAAAACUGUUUGAAUAUGUAGUGCCAUUUAAUUCAAAUUCUACCCGUCCUAAUUUGUGGCAUGUAAUUUAUUUUUAUGUAAUCUGUUUAAUUUUGCACUACCGUUAAGUUCAAAUUGCGCCCAUAUUUUACUGAUUGCAAGUUUUAUGAAACUGCGGCUUGUAUAUUCAUUUAUACAGUCUGUUUCGAAGCUGUUUAUAUUGCCAUCUCAUAGAUCAUGGAAGCUUUUUUAUUGCUAAUGAUACAUGCAUGUUUCUGCUUGAGCAGUACACUUUCAUACCUUCUAUAACUUAAUUUGUAUAUGUAACCAAUGAUGUUUCUUUUUGCUGAAUGCCCACCAAGCCUAAAAUGUGUCUUGUGUAACAAAUGCAGGGGAAUGAUGUAGUGUUUCUUUGAGCUGAGAUUUAAGAGGUGCUAAUUCAAAGUUAAGCUGGCUACAUCUAGUCCGGUGGGUACCUGUGAAGCCCUCCUAGCGAUUCAUGAAGCCCCUUCGAUUACUCCUUCGUGAGCUGGGUUCAAAGCUAACUGCUAGUUGAGGCAACUAAUUAAAGGUGCUAACAGCUAGUGAAGUCCUGUACGUUUCCAUAGGAUUUGAGUGGUCCGGGCAUUCUAUUCAGUUCCUGUUCCUAUGAAUUGUAAACCGAAGAUGGCUGUAAUCAUAUAUUCAAGAACAUAUAUGGAUAAUCGAUCUCAUACCUGGGCGCGCGAUUCCUGCGGGAGGCGUCGUCUCACGUAUCGUA